UGUUAAAAAUUUUAUCUAUUUGUAUAAUUAAAAACUUGCAUAGUUAAUGGAAUGAUGGUCCAAGUGUAGCUCGCGUUGAAGUAUAGAAAUUAAUUUUUAACAGUAAAAAUAAAUAAAAUUUUUAAUA
rfam:Gossypium hirsutum cultivar TM-1 chromosome 12, whole genome shotgun sequence